AUUGAACGCUGGCGGCAGGCCUAACACAUGCAAGUCGAGCGGAUGAAGGGAGCUUGCUCCUGGAUUCAGCGGCGGACGGGUGAGUAAUGCCUAGGAAUCUGCCUGGUAGUGGGGGAUAACGUCCGGAAACGGGCGCUAAUACCGCAUACGUCCUGAGGGAGAAAGUGGGGGAUCUUCGGACCUCACGCUAUCAGAUGAGCCUAGGUCGGAUUAGCUAGUUGGUGGGGUAAAGGCCUACCAAGGCGACGAUCCGUAACUGGUCUGAGAGGAUGAUCAGUCACACUGGAACUGAGACACGGUCCAGACUCCUACGGGAGGCAGCAGUGGGGAAUAUUGGAAAAUGGGCGAAAGCCUGAUCCAGCCAUGCCGCGUGUGAAGAAGGUCUUCGGAUUGUAAAGCACUUUAAGUUGGGAGGAAGGGCAGUAAGUUAAUACCUUGCUGUUUUGACGUUACCAACAGAAUAAGCACCGGCUAACUUCGUG
rnacentral:rRNA from 1 species